UCUUCCAGACUUGAUUGUUGGUUCUUGUCUUCAGACACCCGCAGAUGCUGACAAGCUCCGAGAAAUAGGGGUGAAAACCAUUUUCUGCUUGCAGCAAGACUCGGACCUUGAGUAUCCUAGCUGAGAUAUUUUUAGAAGCCUGCUUAAUUGGUUUUCUAGUCAUUGAUAAGAUUUCCACUGUAAGACCAUGAAUCUUUCAUAGUUUUGAUUAUAGGUCAUUUAUAUUCUGGUCAUUAGUAGCUGCUUCAAUUGAUGUUAACCAUAGGUCAAUUAUGCUAAUAAAAAUAUUUUAGUUCUUUUUGGUUAUUAUCAAAACAUAGGAAUCCAAGUUGAUAUCUUUGUAUCAGUUUCCUCCAUGUUUGGAAUACUUUAAAGUAGUGAUUUUUCUGUCUUAA